rnacentral:rRNA from 1 species
AGCGAACGCUGGCGGCAGGCUUAACACAUGCAAGUCGAGCGGGCACUUCGGUGUCAGCGGCAGACGGGUGAGUAACACGUGGGAACGUACCCUUUGGUUCGGAAUAACGCUGGGAAACUAGCGCUAAUACCGGAUACGCCCUUUUGGGGAAAGGCUUGCUGCCGAAGGAUCGGCCCGCGUCUGAUUAGCUAGUUGGUGGGGUAAUGGCCUACCAAGGCGACGAUCAGUAGCUGGUCUGAGAGGAGGAUCAGCCACACUGGGACUGAGACACGGCCCAGACUCCUACGGGAGGCAGCAGUGGGGAAUAUUGGACAAUGGGCGCAAGCCUGAUCCAGCCAUGCCGCGUGAGUGAUGAAGGCCUUAGGGUUGUAAAGCUCUUUUGUCCGGGACGAUAAUGACGGUACCGGAAGAAUAAGCCCCGGCUAACUUCGUG